rnacentral:lncRNA from 8 species
CCAGGAGGAAGCAGAACCAUGUCCUUUUACAGAUCUAUGACCUUGACGGAAACAACUGGAAUGAGAACCAGAAAUGUGAACAAGUAAGCAAGACAGGUUGGGUUGACCAGGGCAAGGCAACACCCAUUACCUCAGGCAAAUGGGAGGUCAUCUACAUUUCAGAACUCACCCAAGGCGCUAUGGUUAUGAUCGGAAGGAGCCACUGUGCUCCCCCAGUGCCUCACCUGUGGCCUGUAUCAGGACAGGUGUCAGUACAACUCAGCCUACUUCAGCUACGAUGCCUCUUACUACCGCAUGGACUGCUAUGAACCUGGAACACCUUUGUUCACACUCAGGGACGAUAGAGGCUCAGGUGAAGAGCUCCUGGUUCUUCGUGACAACAAAGAUCUUGAAGACAUGA